rnacentral:lncRNA from 1 species
UCUAGGAAGGUCCAGAAGUUUAUCCAGCCUGAAAAUGAACUAUUCUUCAUAGUAUGUCACACUUUCAGAUAUUAAAACACAAAAGUAAGAGUAGGAGGAGGUGACAGACCUGCUUCAAUAAUACCAUUAGAAGAUCUGGCAAGUCACAGUCAUAUCUGUUCAUUGGGCAAGUACUAUUAGGCUUUUCUUUGAAGAGGCCAAUAACAUUAGGAGAACCUUCCCCUUCCAGACUGAUGC